GACGAACCGUGCAAACGUUAUUCGGAAUCACUGGGCAUAAAGGGCGCGUAGGCGGCUCCAAAAGUCAGGGGUGAAAUCCGGCAGCUUAACUGUGGCAGUGCCUUUGAUACUGUGGAGCUAGAGGGAGGUAGGGGUCUGUGGAACUUCCGGUGGAGCGGUGAAAUGCGUUGAUAUCGGAAGGAACGCCGGUGGCGAAAGCGACGGACUGGAUCUCUUCUGACGCUGAGGCGCGAAAGCCAGGGGAGCAAACGGG
rnacentral:rRNA from 1 species